UACAGAGGGGGCAAGCGUUAUUCGGAAUUAUUGGGCGUAAAGGGCGCGUAGGCGGCUUUGCAAGUGGCGGGUGAAAUCCCUCGGCUUAACCGAGGAACUGCCUGUCAAACUGCAUGGCUUGAGACCAGGAGAGGUGAGUGGAAUUCCCAGUGUAGCGGUGAAAUGCGUAGAUAUUGGGAGGAACACCAGUGGCGAAGGCGGCUCACUGGACCGGUACUGACGCUGAGGGCGCGAAAGCGUGGGUAGCAAACAGG
rnacentral:rRNA from 1 species